UGAUUCCUCCUAUGGCCAAAUCGAAGCCGAAAUCCCGGCCAAACGGCCGGAAUACGCGGCCGAAGCCCAGCGGCGCCGCCGCGCCCCUCUCGGUUUUUGCCUCCGACGAGGCCCUUCCCGGCCUCCGUUCGAUGCAAUUUUUAUAUCACCGUGAUCACCAUUCUUUUCUCUACAGGUUGACCGAAGCCAAAUCACCAAAACACGAACUUCGCCGGAGAGUCG
rnacentral:lncRNA from 1 species